rnacentral:rRNA from 1 species
CAAACAACUAUUAAUACCCCUUAAUCACCUUAAAUUAAAACAAACAAACCAUUUUUCCCCCUUAGUAUGGGCGACAGAAAAGGACCCAGGAGCAAUAGAAAAAGUACCGCAAGGGAAGGCUGAAAG